UGGGAUAUAGCUCAAUGGGCAAAGCUCUUGCCUAGCAAGUGCACUGUCCUGGGUUCAAUCCCCAGUACCAA
rnacentral:tRNA from 1 species